rnacentral:tRNA from 3 species
GCCCCCAUAGCUCAAUUGGUAGAGCAAUUCCCUCUUAAGGAAGCGGUUCCGCGUUCGAGUCGCGGUGGGGGCACAA